rnacentral:tRNA from 1 species
UCCCUGGUGGCUCAGACGGUAAAGCGUCUGCCUGCAAUGCGGGAGACCCGGGUUCGAUUCCUGGCUUGGGAA